rnacentral:rRNA from 1 species
AGUGAACGCUGGCGGCAUGCCUAACACAUGCAAGUCGAACGGCAGCACAGUAAGCGCUUGCUCUUACGGUUGGCGAGUGGCGGAUGAGUGAGGAAUACAUCGCCAUCUACUUUUUCGUGGGGGAUAACGUAGGGAAACAUACGCUAAUACCGCAUACGACCUACGGGUGAGAUCAUGGGAUCUUCGGACCUUGCGCGAUUGAAUGAGCCGAUGUCGGAUUAGCUAGUUGGCGGGGUAAAGGCCCACCAAGGCGACGAUCCGUAGCUGGUCUGAGAGGAUGAUCAGCCACACUGGAACUGAGACACGGUCCAGACUCCUACGGGAGGCAGCAGUGGGGAAUAUUGGACAAUGGGCGCAAGCCUGAUCCAGCCAUGCCGCGUGGGUGAAGAAGGCCUUCGGGUUGUAAAGCCCUUUUGGUGGGAAAGAAAAGCAGUGGGUUAAUACCCCGCUGUUCUGACGGUACCCAAAGAAUAAGCACCGGCUAACUACGUG